rnacentral:lncRNA from 1 species
GUACAGAACCUUUAUACAAAUACAAUAGCCAAUGAGGGUGCUGGUAACUAGCCUAAAAGGAUCAUUCCUUAAUAUACACGUCUACAUAAAAAGAAGGAAAUAAACUAAAUAUCUGUACAGAUCAAUGAUUAAUACUCAGAAUCAAUCACGUUGAUUUAGUUGGGAUUUUACGCUCCUCAACAGCCAACGACAAAAUCAACGACAAAACCAACUCCCAACCCAGAUUCAGAUCUAUUUGAAAUAGAAAGUGAGCAAAAGCAAGCAAAUUUGAAGUUGGGAAUUUGGGAAUUAAACAGAGCCACGGACUGGUUCAUCACAAAAUCCCAAUUGAUACUAACCAGAGUGAAGUGGUGAUAAUGACGGCACCCAAAACCCGCGAAAAAUCAAACCCCCUUCGGAAUCAGAACCAGAAGCAGAGUGCUUUGAACCCCAAAAACACUCAAGAGCCCGAAAAAUGGAUCCGAUUAUUGCAGCAAAUGGGCUCUCGUUCCGAGACGAGUUCUCAGGCCGCAGUGGCCACCUCAGGCUCGAGCCUCUUUCUACCGAAGAGAGCUCCAACCCCGUCAAUUCACUCCCUAAUUUCAUUCUGGUCAGUCUUCUUUCCCACUUCUAGCAAUUCCGCUGCAAAUUUUCUUCCGAUUCUAGGGUUUGGCUUAGUUCUAAUUUUGCAGAGGGUCUGGGGAUGAUGGAUAUUGUGAGGCUGAAAGGUUUGGGUUUGAACCUGGUCCAGAGUUUAAGUUCAUAUGGGUUUUGUGUCCACCCAACCACGGCUCUGGAAGUGGGAUGAUGAUAUGGGGGUGGGGGAAUAAGGAUGGGGUCGGGGACAAUGAAAUUUUGUGGGUGGUCGGGGGGAGCGAGCUGGGUUGUUUCUUUACUUUUUGGUAGAGGAGGUCAGACGGAUGGAGGGUUUGGUGGUAGAGGCUGUGGAGAGAGAGAGAGA